UACAGAGGGUGCGAGCGUUAAUCGGAAUUACUGGGCGUAAAGCGUGCGUAGACGGUUAUUUAAGUCGGAUGUGAAAGCCCCGGGCUCAACCUGGGAAUUGCAUUCGAGACUGAAUAGCUAGGGUGCGGUAGAGGGAAGCGGAAUUUCCGGUGUAGCGGUGAAAUGCGUAGAUAUCAGGAAGAACACCCGUGGCGAAAGCGGCUCUCUGGAACGGUACUGACGCUGAGACGCGAAAGCGUGGGGAGCGAACAGG
rnacentral:rRNA from 1 species